GUUUGCACUUGUCGGGGAAGGGUGAGAACCUUCGAUUAAGGUUCGACUCGAGCGAAAGCGAGAGAACGUUGCCAACGGCAACGGCUCGUAGGGUGAGGAGCGAAGCGACGAAUAAUCCUUCCCCCACCACCA
rnacentral:sRNA from 2 species